UUAAUUAAAUUGAUUCUAUUUAAUUUGAUUAGCUGUUUAUAUAAUUUUAUAUGUAAAUCUUUGUGAGAGGUAAAUUUAUCUAAAUGAUAUUUUAAUUUAUUAUUUGCAGUUUUUUGUUUUGUAUAUUUUUGAAAAAGGGAUACAGUUAAUAUUUUUAGAUUUGUUUAAGGUUGUGCCAGCAUACGCGGUUAUACAAUUGAUUCAUGUUAAUUUUUUUGGUUUGUAUUUACUUUUAUAUUGAGAAAUUAAUUUUGAUUUUAUUAGGUGAAAUUUUAAUUUUAUUUAUUUGUUUUUGGUAAGGAUUAUAUGAAAUUUAAUGUUUUAGACUAGGAUUAGAUACCCUAUUAUUAUUAAAUGUAAAUUUAUAGCCAUAGUAUUAAUAGUUAUGAUCUUUAAAUUAAAAGAAUUUGGCGGUAAUUUAGUCUUUUCAGAGGAACCUGUCCUGUAAUUGAUAAUCCACGUUGGAUUUUACUUUAAUUUAUUGUUUGUAUAUCUCUGUCAUUGAAUGUUUUAUUAGAAUAUUUUCUUUAAUUAUCAAUUAUGGUUAAUGUCAGGUCAAGGUGCAGCUAUAUUAAAGAUUGAGAUGGGUUACAUUUAAUGUCAUUUAUUGGAUUAUAUUUAUUUGGAUUAAAUAAAUUUUAUGAAAUAGGAUUUGAAAGUAAUUAGCAUUAUUUUAUGUUAAUGAUUUGAGCUCUAAAUUAUGCACAUAUCGCCCGUCACUCUCAUUAUUAAAAUGAGAUAAGUCGUAACAAAGUAAUUUUACUGGAAAGUGAGGUUAGAAUUUUU
rnacentral:ncRNA from 1 species